rnacentral:rRNA from 1 species
GACGAACGCUGGCGGCGUGCUUAACACAUGCAAGUCGAACGGAAAGGCCCUGCUUUUGUGGGGUGCUCGAGUGGCGAACGGGUGAGUAACACGUGAGUAACCUGCCCUUGACUUUGGGAUAACUUCAGGAAACUGGGGCUAAUACCGGAUAGGAGCUCCUGCUGCAUGGUGGGGGUUGGAAAGUUUCGGCGGUUGGGGAUGGACUCGCGGCUUAUCAGCUUGUUGGUGGGGUAGUGGCUUACCAAGGCUUUGACGGGUAGCCGGCCUGAGAGGGUGACCGGCCACAUUGGGACUGAGAUACGGCCCAGACUCCUACGGGAGGCAGCAGUGGGGAAUAUUGCACAAUGGGCGGAAGCCUGAUGCAGCAACGCCGCGUGCGGGAUGACAGCCUUCGGGUUGUAAACCGCUUUCGCCUGUGACGAAGCGUGAGUGACGGUAAUGGGUAAAGAAGCACCGGCUAACUACGUG